GAUGAACGCUGGCGGCGUGCUUAACACAUGCAAGUCGAACGAAGCACUUUACUACGAUUUCUUCGGAAUGACGGUUUUGUGACUGAGUGGCGGACGGGUGAGUAACGCGUGGAUAACCUGCCUCAUACAGGGGGAUAACAGCCGGAAACGGCUGCUAAUACCGCAUAAGCGCACGGUACCGCAUGGUACAGUGUGAAAAACUCCGGUGGUAUGGGAUGGAUCCGCGUCUGAUUAGCCAGUUGGCGGGGUAACGGCCCACCAAAGCGACGAUCAGUAGCCGACCUGAGAGGGUGACCGGCCACAUUGGGACUGAGACACGGCCCAGACUCCUACGGGAGGCAGCAGUGGGGGAUAUUGCACAAUGGGGGAAACCCUGAUGCAGCGACGCCGCGUGGAGGAAGAAGGUUUUCGGAUUGUAAACUCCUGUCGUUAGGGACGAUAAUGACGGUACCUAACAAGAAAGCACCGGCUAACUACGUG
rnacentral:rRNA from 1 species